rnacentral:rRNA from 1 species
GAGGGAAAGUUGAAAAGGACUCUGAAGAGAGGGUUCAAGAGAGCGUGAAACUGCCACGGGGAUAAAGCGGAUACAUUAGCGUAGUCGAAAGGGGAGAUACAGCUCGUUGGCCGUCGACCUCUGCGAAGUGUCGUCCGAAAGAAAUUAUUCCCGACGUUACGACAUCGAGAUUCGCGUCUCUUUAUCGUCGUCGGUUCUUGGUUUCAUAUUCGGCGAUGUCGCAGUGUAGUACGUUUACAUCAACGAGUCUAAUUCACACCCUAGUAGGCCGCCGCGACGGUCGAAAAGUUGUCUAAGGCCAUUAGGGAGGUCAUUUGGGAACCUUUCGUUUAUUCGAAUUUGUGUUUACUCACGAUUUCGCAGUCGACGAAGGGGGACGCUCCUUGGAAUUUACUGACGGAUUUUUCGACCGGAGAAAUGUACGUUUUUUAGUUAAGACGUAAGUGCGGCGCUCGUAGCGACCAAUUUAUCCGUCCCGUCUUGAAACACGGACCAAGGAGUCUAACAUGUACGCGAGUCAAAGGGUUUACUAAACCCUAAGGCGUAAUGAAAGUAAAUGUGGAUUGAUCCGCGCUCUUUAUUUAUAUAAAGACCGGCGCAAAUCCGGGACCCGUCUUACUGCUUUUCCUCGGAAUCGUUCACGUGGCGGGUACCUCGAGCGUACAUGUUGGGACCC